AUGGGGGCGUCGACCCCCCCUCCCCCCCCCCACGUCUUCCCAUUGGUUCCCUGCUCCUGCCUGGACCUCGUCCCCAUUGGCUGCCUGGCCCGAGGCUUCUUCCCCGCCCCCGUCGCCAUCACGUGGUCCUCUGACGUCACCGGUGACGUCAUCGCCUACCCCAGCCAAUGGGGGGGGAGCUCUUACAGCGCCAGCUCCCUAUUGGUCGUCCCCAUGGCCGGGGUGGGGGAGGGGAGCUUCCGGUGUGAGGUCAAGCAUGAGGUCACCCAGAGCGUCAGCACUGAGGUCAUUGAAGGUGGGCUCCUCCCUCUGCGCCCCCUCCCCCUCCCCCCCCCCCCCCCCCUCUCCAUCCGCCUAUUGGUCGAUCCCAGCCAAUCAGAAGCCGGCGGCUCCGUCCUCCUCCUGUGCCUAUUGGAGGGCCCGGGGGUGGGCGGGGCCACGGUCACGUGGUCGGCGGACGGCGAUUGGCUGACGUCACGGGCGGAGGAGGUCACGUGCGAGCGCUGCACCAAUGGGAGCGCGGCGAGGAGGAGCGCGCUGAGCGUCAGCAGGGACCAAUGGGAGCGGGGGUCAAAGUUCGGGUGCGCGGUGAGAGCCAAUGGGGUUGAGGCGGAGGCGGAGACGGAGAGGGGGAGGUUCUGUGGAGACGCCAGUACAGAGGUGGAAGCCUCCAUCCUGCCCCCAUCCCUGGCCGACCUCUAUGUCCAUCAGAACUCCAGCAUCACCUGUAUGGUCUCCAACCUCCCAUCCCAUAAGGAUGUGGGAUUCACCUGGAGCCGGGAUCAAGGGACCCCAUUGGACGUCGUCGCCGGCCCCAUAGAGGAGCUGCCCAAUGGGCUCUAUAGGAUGAGCAGCUCCAUAAGGAUCUGUGCUGACGAGUGGAAUUCUGGGGAGAGGUUUUCCUGCAGCAUCCGGGUCCCGGAAUUCCAGGAUCCCAUUGUCAGGUCCAUCCGGAAGGAGACGGCCCCCAACCCCCGCCCCCCCUCCGUCUACCUCCUCCCCCCCCCUCCGGACCAGCUCUCCCUAUGGGAAUCCGCCUCCUUGACCUGUAUGGCCACAGGCUUCAUCCCAAAGGAUAUCCUGGUGACCUGGACCCACCGGGAUCGCCCUAUAGAUCCCAAUGGAUACACCCUAUACGGCCCCAUAUGGGACGGGGAUGGGUACACCCUAUACAGCCAGCUGCGGGUGCCGGUAUCCCUAUGGGAUGCGGGGGAUGGGUUCGCCUGUAUCGUCGGCCAUGAUGGAAUUCCAAUGGGAUUCAUCCAUCGGAGCAUGGAUAAGGGCACUGGGAAAGCCACUGCUGUCAAUGUGUCCGUGGUGCUGAGCGAGGCUGAGGUCACGUGCUAUUGAAGGGGGGCUCUGAUUGGUCGGGAAUGGGAUCACGUGACAUUGGUCGGGAAUGGGAUUCCCAUAUCCCAUUGGUUGGGAAUGGGGUUCCCGUAUCCCAUUGGUUGGGAAUGGGGUUCCCGUAUCCCAUUGGUUGGGAAUGGGAUGGGGUCGCAAUAAAGCAUUGGUUGGGAUGGCA